rnacentral:rRNA from 1 species
AACGAACGCUGGCGGCAGGCUUAACACAUGCAAGUCGAGCGCCCCGCAAGGGGAGCGGCAGACGGGUGAGUAACGCGUGGGAAUCUACCCAUCUCUACGGAAUAACGCAUGGAAACGUGUGCUAAUACCGUAUACGUCCUUCGGGAGACGGAUUUAUCGGAGAUGGAUGAGCCCGCGUUGGAUUAGCUAGUUGGUGGGGUAAAGGCCUACCAAGGCGACGAUCCAUAGCUGGUCUGAGAGGAUGAUCAGCCACACUGGGACUGAGACACGGCCCAGACUCCUACGGGAGGCAGCAGUGGGGAAUAUUGGACAAUGGGCGCAAGCCUGAUCCAGCCAUGCCGCGUGAGUGAUGAAGGCCCUAGGGUUGUAAAGCUCUUUCACCGGUGAAGAUAAUGACGGUAACCGGAGAAGAAGCCCCGGCUAACUUCGUGCCAGCCGCCGCAGUAAAAC